CGCACCUUGCGCCUUUUGGUAUUCCAAAAGGCAUGCCUGUUUGAGUGUCAUGUAGACUCAACCUCCAAGGUUUUUUGACCUUGGUGGCUUGGACUUGGGCGCCUGCCUCUCGGCUCGCCUCAAAAGCAUUAGUGGGAUAAACCGAAAGCCCGAUGUAAUAAGUUUCAUCUGGUCUAGGCGACGCCUGCUCACAACCUCAUCUUCUGACUCUGACCUCAAAUCAGGUAGGGCUACCCGCUGAACUUAA
rnacentral:misc_RNA from 1 species